CAGCAGCUAAGAAUCUUCCGCAAUGGGCGAAAGCCUGACGGAGCGACGCCGCGUGGGUGAAGAAGGCGGAAACGUUGUAAAACCCUUUUCUGCGUGAGGAAUAAGGGUGGCAGGAAAUGGCCAUCUGAUGACGGUAGCGCAGGAAUAAGCCCCGGCCAAUUACGUG
rnacentral:rRNA from 1 species